rnacentral:rRNA from 1 species
AUUGAACGCUGGCGGCAUGCCUUACACAUGCAAGUCGAACGGCAGCGCGGGGCAACCUGGCGGCGAGUGGCGAACGGGUGAGUAAUAUAUCGGAACGUACCCUGGAGUGGGGAGUAACGUAGCGAAGUUACGCUAAUACCGCAUACGAUCUAAGGAUGAAGACAGGGGACCGGCAAGGCCUUGUGCUCCUGGAGCGGCCGAUAUCUGAUUAGCUAGUUGGUGGGGAAAGGGACCUACCAAGGCAUCGAUCAGUAGCUGGUCUGAGAGGACGACCA